rnacentral:rRNA from 1 species
GAUGACGCUGGCGGCGUGCCUCAUACAUGCAAGUCGCGCGAACAGACGAGGAGCUUGCUCCUCUGACGUUAGCGGCGGACGGGUGAGUAACACGUGGAUAACCUACCUAUAAGACUGGGAUAACUUCGGGAAACCGGAGCUAAUACCGGAUAAUAUAUUGAACCGCAUGGUUCAAUAGUGAAAGACGGUUUUGCUGUCACUUAUAGAUGGAUCCGCGCCGCAUUAGCUAGUUGGUAAGGUAACGGCUUACCAAGGCGACGAUGCGUAGCCGACCUGAGAGGGUGAUCGGCCACACUGGAACUGAGACACGGUCCAGACUCCUACGGGAGGCAGCAGUAGGGAAUCUUCCGCAAUGGGCGAAAGCCUGACGGAGCAACGCCGCGUGAGUGAUGAAGGUCUUCGGAUCGUAAAACUCUGUUAUUAGGGAAGAACAAAUGUGUAAGUAACUAUGCACGUCUUGACGGUACCUAAUCAGAAAGCCACGGCUAACUACGUG